rnacentral:tRNA from 1 species
UCCCUGAUAGCUCAGUUAGUAGAGAAUCUGCCUGCGAUGCAGAAAACCCUGGUUCAAUCCCUGGGUUGGGAA